GUCCCUUAUACCUGUUGGUCUUACUCAAGAAAGAAAAAGAAAACUUCAUCUUUCUCUCCAAGGAAGCCAUAGCCGAUGCACACCUUCCUCUCUUCUCAUCUUCAAGAAAACAAGCUCCUCUCAUCUUCUUCAAGCUUUGUGACUCCAUGGGAAGAAGAAAAAGCAUUUUUCUCUCAUCCUCUUCAAGCCAUACGAGAACACUCCCUCCAUACCCAUUUUCGGUUUUGACUUAAAGCUUGGAACCAAAGCUGGAUUUCAUUUCCAAAAGAUGAAAUCUUGAAGUGCCAUCAUUUCAUUCAUCAUCUACAUGGCUAUACCAAUAUUUGGUCCUCCACUUGUGUUUUGAAAGGGGUUAAGAGCUUAAGGACCUAUAUUGACAUUGGAAGUAUCGAGGAGCAUAGAGGAUCAAGACGAAUGAUAUGAGUUAGGACGAACACUUCCCAAGGGGAAGAGUGCUGAGCCUAGGCACAAUGUUUUGUGUGAAAGACUUUCAAUUAUAAAAUUUAAUGUUUACUGCUGUAACUCUCUUUAAAUUAAGAAUCACAUUUUAUUUUAUAAAUAUGGAGUCUUUCGUAUCCUGACAUGGA